AAGUCGUAACAAGGUUUCCGUAGGUGAACCUGCGGAAGGAUCAUUAACACUUUUUCCCUUUCCCUAACCUGGAGCAAAGAGGUCUUUUUUUCUUCUCGGAGAGAAGAAGGUCUCUUUCUUCAGACUUACCCCUUUGUGUGCACUUGUUUGAGAGGGAGAAACAGCCUUUCACGGCUGCGGAUCUCUCUUAACUAUUUUUCCAUUUUCUUUUUUUCUUUUUACCCCUUUUUAAAUGCGAUAGACUGAAAUAAUGACCUAUUGGAAGGGUCUGAAACCUCCAAAAAUUGUAAUACAACUCUUAGCAACGGAUAUCUAGGCUCUC
rnacentral:misc_RNA from 1 species